AAAUUCAGCAUGAAGGAGGUGGAAUGGAAAGGGGAAGCAACAAACAAAGCUACAAGCUCUGGUAACACAUAGGCUUCUCAUCGUCGAAACCACGGAGACUUCGGAAUACAGCAAGCUACCUCCCCCUGCUGUGCAGGGGAUUCAGGACAAACAGCUCGAAUGCAAAUCCACUCCAUGAAGGAAGAGAUGAGCAGACUGGAGCCUGAUACAGGAGGAGAUGUGGGCACAAUAAUGACAUUUAGAUAAAAGACAUGGGAUAUGGGCCAAACACAGGAAGAUGAGGUCAGCCACGUUGGCAUCUUGGUUGGCAUGGAGGAGGUGGACCGAAGGGCCAGAAUCUGUACAGUGCGACUCUACAUGCAAGACAUCGGUACAAGUGUUCCUCUGAUGGGAAGUGUGCAGUUUCGGUCAGCUACCUACAGGAAAGAUAUCCAUUGUGAUUGACUUCAAUCUGCCCUCUGCCAUUGGAUUUCUGAAUGGACAAUGAACACUACCUCACUAUUUUGUUUUUGCUCUCUUUAUGCACUACUUCUUUAAAUUUAAUAUAUUUAUUAUUGUAAUUUAUAGUUUUUUAAUGUAUCGCACUGUAGUGGUGCUGCAAAAUAACAAAUUUCAUCACAUAUGCCAGAGAUAUUAAACCUGAU